rnacentral:misc_RNA from 1 species
ACAUCCUGCGCACCGAAAAGGACGUCGCGUACCAGGUGGCCGAUCGGCUCUGUGAAGCGACGCGCGAGGAGCCGGACAUCGUGCUGGCACUCCCGACCGGGCGGACACCGAUCCCGAUUUACCGCCGGCUCGUGGCGCUGCAUGCGAAAGCAUUGGCGUCGUUCGAGCGCAUCACGACGUUCAAUCUGGAUGAGUUCAUCGGGCUGGCGCCGACGCAUCCGGGCAGCUAUCGCGCGUUCAUGCAGAGACAUGUCUUCUCACCGCUGGGCGUUCGCGACGAGCAGGUGCACUUUCUGGACGGCCUGGCCGAGGAUCUCGGCAGCGAAUGCCGGCGAUAUGAAGCCGAGAUUGCCGCCGUGGACGGCAUCGGCCUGAUGAUGCUGGGUGUCGGCGCCAACGGUCAUGUCGGCUUCAACGAGCCCGCGUCGCAACUGCAGGCGUGGACGCACGUGGCGCUGCUGAGGCCGCAAACGCGAAGGGCUAAUGCGAUCUUCUUCGGUAAGAACGUCGCGGAUGUGCCGGGGCGCGCCUUGUCGGUGGGAAUGGCAACGAUCCUCCAGGCGCGCCGGCUGAUUGUCGUGGCGACAGGGCAGCGUAAACGAUGGGCAGUGGCGGCGAUGGUCGGCGGAACGCUCACCACGCGGGCGCCGGCCUCCUUCCUCCAGACGCACCCGCGAUGCGAUGUCUACGUGGACGAGGCCGCGGCCCCGCCCUAACCCUUGGCGACCGGCUCACUCAGCUUCAGGAGUGCUCUCAGACGGGGCUCGAUGUCUUCGCCGAUGGCUUCCCGGACCGAGUCAUCGGCGGCGCGGAGGCGGGCCACGGCCUUGCUAUAGGUGACGCCGGUCUUCUGCAUGACGAUCGCAGCUUUGACGUUGCCCCUGGCGCGUCCGAGGAGCUUCUUGGAUUCCUCGUACUCGAGUCCCGUGGCGAUGCUCAGGAUGCGCAAGGCGCGAUCCUUCAGCUUCUGCGAUCCCGCCUGGACAUCGACCAUGAGGUUUCCGUAGGUCUUGCCGAUGCGCACCAUCGCGAUCGUCGUGAGCAUGUUCAGCACCAUCUUCGUCGCCGUGCCCGCCUUGAGCCGCGUCGAACCGGUCAGCACCUCAGGGCCCACGUUCGGGGCGACGACCAGGUCAACGAAGUUUUGCAGCUCAGUUCCCGGCCAGCAGGUGACGAAGAUGAUCUUGAGCCCGGCAACCCGGGCCUUCGUCAGCGCUCCGCGGACGAACUCGGUGAUGCCGCUGGCCGACACGCCGAUGACGACGUCGCGAGGUGACGGGCGGAGCCGCCCGAUCGACCGCGUGCCUUCUUCGUAGUCGUCCUCGACGCCCUCACGGGCGCGGAACACAGAGCCCUUGCCGCCGGCCAUGAUGGCGUGGAUCAGGGUCGGCGGGACCCCGAACGUCGGCGGCAUCUCGGCGGCCUCGAGCACCCCCAGGCGGCCGCUGGUGCCGGCACCGACGAAGAUGAUCCGCCCCCCCUUGCGCAGCGCAUGGGUGAUGAUCUCGACACCGUGAGCAAUACGCUCCCUUUCCUUCUGGACCGCGGACACGACCUUGCGAUCCUCGUUCACCAUCAGAUCGAUGAUGUCGCCCACCGGCGCCUUGUCGAGAUUGAGACUGGCCGGAUUGAUCGCUUCGGUUGGAAGGGACUGCCACUUGGAAGGGCUGAUCGGCAUUUCGUCGAAUCGAGGCCGCGGAAAGACGGGGACGGAUACUACUCCCCGCCGAUCGGCGUGUCAAUCUGGGUCCGCAGCUGUCUCACAUGCCGGCGACGCUGAUCUAGAAUUGAGAGCCGGACGCAUCAGGCGCUGAUCAAUUGUAGUGCGGGGCGCGCCCGCAGAGCCGAAAUUCAUGAACGAGGACGCUCACCUGCCACGAGCCGGGUCCGCCGGGAACGCUCGGGCUGUCGACGCCUUUCUCGAUUAUCUUCGCCUCGCGCGGCGGCUGGCUGAAAACAGCGUCGAGGGCUACGCGCACGAUCUGGUGCUUCUCGGCGAGUUUGCCGCCGGUCGCGGCUUGCGGUUCGAGGCGGUGAGCGCCCACGACCUGGAGGAGUUCAUCCGGCAGCUGAUGGCGAGCAGGUACUCGCCGCGGUCCGUCGCCCGGAUCGUCUCGGCGGUCCGCGGGUUCUAUCGCUUUCUCAAGAUCGAGCGGAUCCUGGCCGUCAACCCGGCCGCCGACCUCCGGCCGCCGCGCGCCUGGCCAGCGCUGCCGCGAUUCCUGUCGGUGGAGGAGGUCGAUCGCCUGCUCGAAGCGCCCGAUGUGGCAACGCCGCGCGGCAUCCGCGACCGUGCGCUGAUCGAGCUGCUCUACGCCACCGGCCUGCGCGUGUCCGAGCUGGUCAACGUCAAGACCAACGAGAUCGACCUCGACUCGGGAUGCCUCUCGUGCGUCGGCAAGGGCAACAAGCAGCGCAUCGUUCCCAUCGGCCGCGAGGCCCAGGCAUGGAUGAAGACGUAUCUCGCCGAGGCGCGGCCCCGCCUGCUCGGGCGGCGGCAGUCGGCGCGCGUCUUCGUCAACGCCCGUGG